AUUGCCUACGGGGGGCAGCAGUAGGGAAUUUUCGGCAAUGGGCGAAAGCCUGACCGAGCGACGCCGCGUGAACGAAGAAGGUCUUCGGAUUGUAAAGUUCUGUUAUAGAGGAAGAAUGGUGUACGUAGGAAAUGGCGUACAAAUGACGGUACUCUGUGAGGAAGCCACGGCUAACUCCGUGCCAGCAGCCGCGGUAAUACGGAGGAUGCGAGCGUUAUCCGGAUUUAUUGGGUUUAAAGGGUGCGCAGGCGGUCUGUUAAGUCAGCGGUCAAAGCCCGGGGCUCAACCCCGGCCCGCCGUUGAAA
rnacentral:rRNA from 1 species